UUCAUUGCAAAACCUGGUUUAUGCCAAGAAUUUGGUGAUAGACAAGAGCAUCCAAACAGCAUACAUUGAAGCAAUCAGAUCUGCUCAACAUUUCAUUUAUAUAGAAAACCAGUAUUUCCUUGGAUCAUCAUAUGCAUGGCCAAAUUACAAAAAUGCUGGUGCUGAUCAUUUGAUACCUAUGGAGUUGGCACUGAAGAUUGUUAGCAAAAUCCGAGCCAAAGAGAGAUUUUCUGUCUACGUUGUCAUCCCUAUGUGGCCUGAGGGUGUACCCACCUCUGCUUCCGUGCAAGAAAUUCUUUUCUGGCAGGGUGAAACCAUGCAAAUGAUGUACAGCAUAAUAGCACAGGAGAUUAAAGUAAUGAACCUCGAGGAUGCAUACUCAAUAUAUAUGAAAUGAGUGCCAAAGAGGAUUGUUGAAGUUGUAUGCUUCAUUAGAACAGGUUUUUGGAGUAUUAGAAG